rnacentral:rRNA from 1 species
GACGAACGCUGGCGGCGUGCUUAACACAUGCAAGUCGAGCGGAAAGGCCCUUCGGGGUACUCGAGCGGCGAACGGGUGAGUAACACGUGAGUAACCUGCCCUUGGCUCUGGGAUAAGCCCGGGAAACUGGGUCUAAUACCGGAUAUGACCACUGACUGCAUGGGUUGGUGGUGGAAAGUUUUUCGGCUGGGGAUGGACUCGCGGUCUAUCAGCUUGUUGGUGGGGUGAUGGCCUACCAAGGCGACGACGGAUAGCCGGCCUGAGAGGGUGACCGGCCACACUGGGACUGAGACACGGCCCAGACUCCUACGGGAGGCAGC